rnacentral:rRNA from 1 species
GACGAACGCUGGCGGCGUGCUUAACACAUGCAAGUCGAACGGAAAGGCCCUGCUUUUGUGGGGUGCUCGAGUGGCGAACGGGUGAGUAACACGUGAGUAACCUGCCCUUGACUUUGGGAUAACUUCAGGAAACUGUGGCUAAUACCGCAUAGGAGCUCCUGCUGCAUGGUGGUGGUUGGAAAGUUUCGGCGGUUGGGGAUGGACUCGCGGCUUAUCAGCUUGUUGGUGGGGUAGUGGCUUACCAAGGCUUUGACGGGUAGCCGGCCUGAGAGGGUGACCGGCCACAUUGGGACUGAGAUACGGCCCAGACUGCUACGGGAGGCAGCAGUGGGGAAUAUUGCACAAUGGGCGGAAGCCUGAUGCAGCAACGCCGCGUGCGGGAUGACGGCCUUCGGGUUGUAAACCGCUUUCGCCUGUGACGAAGCGUGAGUGACGGUAAUGGGUAAAGAAGCACCGGCUAACUACGUG